AGGGUUUGACAUCCUGCGAAUCCCUUGGAAACGAGGGAGUGCCUUCGGGAGCGCAGAGACAGGUGGUGCAUGGCUGUCGUCAGCUCGUGUCGUGAGAUGUUGGGUUAAGUCCCGCAACGAGCGCAACCCACGUCGUUAGUUGCCAGCAUUCAGUUGGGCACUCUAGCGAGACCGCCGGUGAUAAACCGGAGGAAGGUGUGGAUGACGUCAAGUCAUCAUGCCCCUUACAUCCUGGGCUACACACGUACUACAAUGCUACGGACAAAGGGCAGCAAACUCGCGAGAGCUAGCAAAUCCCAUAAACCGUGGCUCAGUUCAGAUCGUAGGCUGCAACUCGCCUACGUGAAGGAGGAAUCGCUAGUAAUCGCAGGUCAGCAUACUGC
rnacentral:rRNA from 1 species